UAGAAAUGUGUUUGCGAAAAAAGUGCGUGCAAUUGUGAAAAAAGUUAGCAAAUCGCAUAAAAUGCGUGAUUUACGGCAUCUAAUUAAAGUGAAUUGUAUUACCUACGUUCGCGGCAUGCAGCAUAGAUCGUGGCAAGCGCGUCAAACUAGAAUUGAAAUAAAAACCAGACAAUUGUGCUUAAAUUCAAUGCAAGUACGCGUGCGUGUGUGUGUGUGUGUGAGUGAAGUGCAAGACCAGCUGUAUGUGUGGGUCAAAUGCACGCCAUUUUGGGUGAGCUCAGUUUUCUAAUUGGUCCAAGGCUAUCUUGACAUCAACAUCAUCAUCAUCAUCAUCAUCGAGGGCAAUCAUAAUGUGCCAAGAAAAACUGACAUUUUCUAACCCAAAAAGCCAUGUUUAAUUGCCUUGAUUCGCAACCCUGCUUGACUAAGGUCAUACACUCAGGAUAGAGGGAUGCCACACCCCAGAAGAAGCGCAAAAGCUAAAAACUUUAUCAUUUGCGCACUGGACAUUGGUCAGCAGUGUUGUUGGGAUCGUUCUAGCGUGACGAAAAGGACAUGCGGAAAAGAAAAGAAUACCUUAAGGGUAGCUGCAAGUCAAGCAAAUCAUGCAGCAUGCAGCACGCUGCUCUGUGGUUAUCAACUUUCAAUUGCCGCUGCCAAAUUCUGCUGAGUGUGUCUGAGUUUAGUUUUCGUAAUCGGAUGAGAAAAUGAGAGAGAGAGAGAGAGAGAGAAAGCGCAAGAAGGCGACAAAGUCUGGGAUGGAAAAUGCAGACGAGGCAUUUCAGGAAUCACUGAAAAACUAUUUGCAACUUAUUUAACAACAACAAUUUGCAAUUCAUUGAUCGAUAACAAAGAUGUUUUAUGUAUACGUAACCGGUGACAUCUUUUAUUCUUAUUUAUAUAGAGAAGAAAUUCAGGAAUAUUUCUCAUUUGGUUCUUGAAUAAAAAUAUGGUGGAUGACUACGCUUAUUCUGGAAGAUCCUUUUAGCAAAAGGAUGCUUCGACUUCAACAUUCACAUCCUGGACAUUAACGUGACAUUGUAAUGCUUGAUUCACAUCCUGGACAUUAAUCAUACAUGUAUAUACAUAAUUUGUCAAUUUACAAGUACAGCAUUCAAACGACCUCUAAUCUAAUUGCAUUAAUUGUUGAUAUAAAUACAAAAUAUGUUUUGCCAAAUAAGUAGUGUUAAAAAUUAGCUUAAUAACAAACAAUUGUAUAUUAUAGUAAAAUGCACAGACUUAAAAUAAAUAAACAACACAUUCUCAAUUAAAGAGAAUA